GACGAACCGUGCGAACGUUGUUCGGAAUCACUGGGCUUAAUGGCGCGUAGGCGGGCCUCCAAGUCAGGGGUGAAAUCCCACGGCUCAACCGUGGAAGUGCCUCUGAUACUGGGGGCCUCGAGGGAGGUAGGGGCGUGCGGAACUUCCGGUGGAGCGGUGAAAUGCGUAGAUAUCGGAAGGAACAUCAGUGGCGAAAGCGACUUCCUGGACCAAUACUGACGCUCAUGUGCGAAAGCGUGGGGAGCAAACAGG
rnacentral:rRNA from 1 species